rnacentral:lncRNA from 1 species
AUGACUUAGUGCACCACUAGGAAGCAUAUAGAGAGCCUAGGGAGCAACUAAAGAUCAUCUAAAAACCCUCCAAAUACCAAAAACGAAAAUUACAAUAAAAAUAAAGAAAAUUGGACUUAAUUGUUUUCUAUUUAGUCCAAUAUUAUUAGACCAUACAUUAGCCCAAAGAUGCUUCUUAUCAUGUGAAAUGGGCUUCAAGUUGGGCUCAAGCAUCUUCAUCCAAAUAUUUUUUGUGCAUUUUUUUAUAAGUUUCCUUCCA